AUCUUUUAGAACUUAAUUAAAAGUAUCUCCUGCUCAAUGUAACAUAUAUAGCCGCAGAUUUUUUCUGUGCUAAGGUAGCAUAAUCACUUGCCUUCUAAUUAAAGGAUAGAAUGAACGGAGCUACGAAUUUUAAACUAUUUUAACCACACCCAAUAAAACUUCAUCUAAAGUAAAAAUGCUCUUAUUUCAAGAAAGACGACAAGACCCUGACGAACUCACACUAAAGUUUAGCUGGGGUGGCUCAAUAAAAACAUCUUACUUUUUCCUGCCCUCACCCAUACUCAUUUUAAAGUUACCGCAGGGAUAACAGCAUAAUAUUAUCUCAAAGCUCCUAUUAAAGAUAAAGAUUGUGACCUCGAUGUUGAAUAAAUACUCUAUAAGCUAGCAAAAAAGCUAAAAGAAAGUCUGUUCGACUUUUAAAAAUUUACA
rnacentral:rRNA from 1 species